AGCUAGGCGAGGAAGUUCGUGACAAUGGGGUUAUUAAGAGGUUAUUUAAUCCUUAUGGUGCUGCAGCUUAUAACUUCAUCACCAUGGGUACUUACAGAGGUGGACUCAAUACUUUUGCUAUUAUAGGCUUCUUUAUGCAAAGCCCACCUACCAAUGCGAGUGGGUUCCGCAACACUCCUCUACCGACAACUCCUCCGCUGUCCCCAUCACCUCCGCUACUUACAAGAUCCUUCCUGAUUGGGGAUACGGCCGUGUUUACACUGUUGUUGUUGUGAAUUGCACGUUUUCUGAACCCAUCAACUCUAAUAAUUCAGGUGGGAAACUGUUCCUGCACGCCUCCACAUCAGGCGGUGGUGACAGAAACUUCAAUAUUACAGACAGAUUUGAGGUUCUUCAAGAACUACCUGGGAAUUUGAACUUGACUGUAUUCACAUCGAAACCCAAGUACGAUUAUUUGUAUUGCGGUUCUUCUCUGUAUGGUGGUUUGAGUCCGCAGAGAGUCAGGGAAUGGAUUGCUUACCAUGUGAGGUUAUUCGGUGAGAGAUCCCAUUUUGUGAUACAUGAUGCAGGUGGAGUACAUGAGGAAGUGAUGGAGGUUUUGAAGCCAUGGAUGGAUUUGGGAUAUGUGACAU
rnacentral:misc_RNA from 1 species